rnacentral:rRNA from 1 species
UGGGGAAUCUUGCGCAAUGGGCGAAAGCCUGACGCAGCGACGCCGCGUGGGGGAAGAAGGCCUUAGGGUUGUAAACCUCUUUCAGUAGGGACGAAGCCACUCGGGUUAAUAGCCCAGAGGGUGACGGUACCUACAGAAGAAGCCCCGGCUAACUACGUGCCAGCAGCCGCGGUAAUACGUAGGGGGCAAGCGUUGUCCGGAUUUAUUGGGCGUAAAGAGCGUGUAGGCGGCCAGAUAGGUCUGUUGUGAAAACUGGAGGCUUAACCUUCAGAGGUCGAUGGAAACCAUUUGGCUAGAGUCCGGAAGAGGAGAAUGGAAUUCCUGGUGUAGCGGUGAAAUGCGCAGAUAUCAGGAAGAACACCCGUGGCGAAGGCGGUUCUCUGGGACGGUACUGACGCUGAGACGCGAAAGCGUGGGGAGCGAACAGG